rnacentral:rRNA from 1 species
GAUGAACGCUGGCGGCGUGCCUAAUACAUGCAAGUCGAGCGAAAAGAUGAGGAGCUUGCUCCUCUGACGUUAGCGGCGGACGGGUGAGUAACACGUGGAUAACCUACCUAUAAGACUGGGAUAACUUCGGGAAACAGGAGCUAAUACCGGAUAAUAUAUUGAACCGCAUGGUUCAAUAGUGAAAGACGGUUUUGCCGACACUUUUAGAUGGAUCCGCGCCGCAUUAGCUACUUGGUAAGGUAACGGCUUACCAAGGAAACGUUGCGUAGCCGACCUGAGAGGCUGAUUGGCCACACUGGAACUGAGACACGGUCCAGACUCCCACGGGAUGCAGCAGUAGGGAAUAUUCCGCAAUGGGCGAAAGCCUGACGGAGCAACGCCGCGUGAGUGAUGAAGGUCUUCGGCUCGUAAAACCCUGUUAUUGGGGAAGAACAAAUGUGUAAGUACCUAUGCACGUCUUGACGGUACCUAAACAGUAAGCCUCGGCUAACUACGUG